AACGAACGCUGGCGGCGCGCCUAAUACAUGCAAGUCGAGCGAGAAGACGUAGCAAUACGUUUGUAAAGCGGCGAACGGGUGAGGAAUACAUGGGUAACCUACCCUCGAGUGGGGAAUAACUAGCCGAAAGGUUAGCUAAUACCGCGUACGCUCCUUGGACUUCGGUUCAGGGAGGAAAGCGAUACCGUGGGUAUCGCGCUCUUGGAUGGGCUCAUGUCCUAUCAGCUUGUUGGUGAGGACGGCUCACCAAGGCUUCGACGGGUAGCUGGUCUGAGAGGACGAUCAGCCACACUGGCACUGCGACACGGGCCAGACUCCGUACGGGAGCAGCAGUAAGGAAUAUGCGCAAGUGGGACGAAAGCCUGACGCAGCGACGCCGCGGU
rnacentral:rRNA from 1 species